rnacentral:rRNA from 1 species
GUGGGGAAUAUUGGGCAAUGGACGCAAGUCUGACCCAGCAACGCCGCGUGAAGGAAGAAGGCUUUCGGGUUGUAAACUUCUUUUAAGGGGGAAGAGCAGAAGACGGUACCCCUUGAAUAAGCCACGGCUAACUACGUGCCAGCAGCCGCGGUAAUACGUAGGUGGCAAGCGUUGUCCGGAUUUACUGGGUGUAAAGGGCGUGCAGCCGGAGAGACAAGUCAGAUGUGAAAUCCACGGGCUCAACCCGUGAACUGCAUUUGAAACUGUUUCCCUUGAGUGUCGGAGAGGUAAUCGGAAUUCCUUGUGUAGCGGUGAAAUGCGUAGAUAUAAGGAAGAACACCAGUGGCGAAGGCGGAUUACUGGACGAUAACUGACGGUGAGGCGCGAAAGCGUGGGGAGCAAACAGG